GGUACCGUCAAACAUGGCAGGUAUUGGCUACCACGCACUUCUUCCCACUUGACAGGACUUUACGACCCGAAGGCCUUCAUCGUCCACGCGGCGUCACUGCGUCAGGCUUUCGCCCAUUGCGCAAAAUUCCCCC
rnacentral:rRNA from 1 species